rnacentral:rRNA from 1 species
GACGAACGCUGGCGGCGUGCUUAACACAUGCAAGUCGAACGGACAGGCCCUGCUCUUGUGGGGUGCUCGAGAGGCGAACGGGUGAGUAACACGUGAGUAAACUGCACUUGACUGUGGGAUAACUUCAGGAAACUGGGGCGAAUACAGGAUAGGAGCUCCUGCAGCACGGGGGGGGUUGGAAAGUGUCGGCGGUUGGGGAUGGACUCGCGGCUUAUGAGCUGGUUGGUGGGGUAGUGGAGUCCAAAGGCUUUGACGGGUAGCCGGCCUUAGAGGGUGACCGGCCUCAUUGCUCCUAAGAUACGGCCCAGACUCCUACCGUCCGCAGCAGUGGGGAAUAUUGCACAAUGGCCGGACGCCUGAUGCGACGACGCCGCGUUCGGGAUGACGGCCUUCGGGUUGUAAACCGCUUUCGCCUGUGACGAAGCGUGAGUGACGGUAAUGGGUAAAGAAGCACCGGCUAACUACGUG